UAGGUUUUGGCCUUUCUAGGGAGUUUUCCUAGCCACCGUGCUUCUACACCUGCAUUGCUUGCUGUUUGGGGUUUUAGGCUGGGUUUCUGUACAGCACUUUGAGAUAUCAGCUGAUGUACGAAGGGCUAUAUAAAUAAAUUUGAUUUGAUUUGAUAAUCUAGUACUGUUACAGGAGUGAACUAUUAUCAUCAUCCAGUACUGUUACAGGAGUGAACUAUUAUCAUCAUCCAGUACUGUUACAGGAGUGAACUAUUAUCAUCCAGUACUGUUACAUGAGUGAACUAUCAUCAUCCAGUACUGUUACAGGAGUGAACUAUUAUCAUCAUCCAAUACUGUUACAGGAGUGAACUAUUAUCAUAAUCUAGUACUGUUACAGGAGUGAACUAUUAUCAUCAAAUACUGUUACAGGAGUGAACUAUCAUCAUCUCGUACUGUUACAGGAGUGAACUAUUAUCAUCUAGUACUGUUACAGGAGUGAACUAUUAUCAUCAUCUAGUACUGUUACAGGAGUGAACUAUUAUCAUAAUCUAGUACUGUUACAGGAGUGAACUAUUAUCAUCAAAUACUGUUACAGGAGUGAACUAUCAUCAUCUCGUACUGUUACAGGAGUGAACUAUUAUCAUCUCGUACUGUUACAGGAGUGAACUAUCAUCAUCAUAUACUACUGUUACAGGAGUGAACUAUUAUCAUCUAGUACUGUUACAGGGGUGAACUACAAUUUAGUACUGUUACAGGAGUGA
ensembl:lncRNA